AUUGAUCGCUGGCGGCAGGCUUAACACAUGCAAGUCGAGCGGAGCGAGGGUGCUUGCACCUUAGCUUAGCGGCGGACGGGUGAGUAAUGCUUAGGAAUCUGCCUAUUAGUGGGGGACAACAUUCCGAAAGGAAUGCUAAUACCGCAUGCGCCCUACGGGGGAAAGCAGGGGAUCUUCGGACCUUGCGCUAAUAGAUGAGCCUAAGUCGGAUUAGCUAGUUGGUGGGGUAAAGGCCUACCAAGGCGACGAUCUGUAGCGGGUCUGAGAGGAUGAUCCGCCACACUGGGACUGAGACACGGCCCAGACUCCUACGGGAGGCAGCAGUGGGGAAUAUUGGACAAUGGGCGGAAGCCUGAUCCAGCCAUGCCGCGUGUGUGAAGAAGGCCUUUUGGUUGUAAAGCACUUUAAGCGAGGAGGAGGCUACUAGUACUAAUACUACUGGAUAGUGGACGUUACUCGCAGAAUAAGCACCGGCUAACUCUGUGCCAGCCGCCGCCGUAAAAC
rnacentral:rRNA from 1 species